ACGAACGCUGGCGGCAUGCCUAACACAUGCAAGUCGAACGAGACCUUCGGGUCUAGUGGCGCACGGGUGCGUAACGCGUGGGAACCUGCCCUUAGGUUCGGAAUAACUCCCCGAAAGGGGUGCUAAUACCGGAUAAUGUCUUCGGACCAAAGAUUUAUCGCCUUUGGAUGGGCCCGCGUUGGAUUAGCUAGUUGGUAGGGUAAAAGCCUACCAAGGCGACGAUCCAUAGCUGGUCUGAGAGGAUGAUCAGCACACUGGGACUGAGACACGGCCCAGACUCCUACGGGAGGCAGCAGUGGGGAAUAUUGGACAAUGGGCGAAAGCCUGAUCCAGCAAUGCCGCGUGAGUGAUGAAGGCCUUAGGGUUGUAAAGCUCUUUUACCCGGGAUGAUAAUGACAGUACCGGGAGAAUAAGCUCCGGCUAACUCCGUG
rnacentral:rRNA from 1 species